rnacentral:rRNA from 1 species
UGCCAGACUCCUACGGGAGGCAGCAGUGGGGAAUAUUGCACAAUGGGGGAAACCCUGAUGCAGCGACGCCGCGUGAGUGAAGAAGUAUUUCGGUAUGUAAAGCUCUAUCAGCAGGGAAGAAAAUGACGGUACCUGACUAAGAAGCCCCGGCUAACUACGUGCCAGCAGCCGCGGUAAUACGUAGGGGGCAAGCGUUAUCCGGAUUUACUGGGUGUAAAGGGAGCGUAGACGGUGAUGCAAGCCAGGAGUGAAAGCCCGGGGCCCAACCCCGGGACUGCUCUUGGAACUGCGUGGCUGGAGUGCAGGAGGGGCAGGCGGAAUUCCUGGUGUAGCGGUGAAAUGCGUAGAUAUCAGGAGGAACACCGGUGGCGAAGGCGGCCUGCUGGACUGCGACUGACGUUGAGGCCCGAAAGCGUGGGGAGCAAACAGGAUUAGAUACCCCUGUA